GGGACAGGGAUACUGGAGGGAUGGAGGUAGAUAUGUAUAGGGGGAAGGGGACAAUAUACAGGGUCAGUACCAUAUUAACAAUGUACAGGGAUACUGGAGUGAUGGAGGUAGAUAUGUAUAGGGGGAAGGGUACAGGGAUACUGGAGGGAUGGAGGUAGAUAUGUAUAGGGGGAAGGGGACAAUAUUCAGGGUCAGUACCAUAUUAACAAUGUACAGGGAUACUGGAGGGAUGGAGGUAGAUAUGUAUAGGGGGAAGGGGACAAUAUACAGGAUCAGUACCAUAUUAACAAUGUACAGGGAUACUGGAGUGAUGGAGGUAGAUAUGUAUAGGGGAAGGGGA
rnacentral:lncRNA from 1 species